rnacentral:rRNA from 1 species
GACGAACGCUGGCGGCGUGCUUAACACAUGCAAGUCGAACGGAAAGGCCCUGCUUUUGUGGGGUGCUCGAGUGGCGAACGGGUGAGUAACACGUGGGUAACCUGCCCUUGACUUUGGGAUAACUUCAGGAAACUGGGGCUAAUACCGGAUAGGAGCUCCUGCUGCAUGGUGGGGGUUGGAAAGUUUCGGCGGUUGGGGAUGGACUCGCGGCUUAUCAGCCUGUUGGUGGGGUAGUGGCUUACCAAGGCUUUGACGGGUAGCCGGCCUGAGAGGGUGACCGGCCACAUUGGGACUGAGAUACGGCCCAGACUCCUACGGGAGGCAGCAGUGGGGAAUAUUGCACAAUGGGCGGAAGCCUGAUGCAGCAACGCCGCGUGCGGGAUGACGGCCUUCGGGUUGUAAACCGCUUUCGCCUGUGACGAAGCGUGAGUGACGGUAAUGGGUAAAGAAGCACCGGCUAACUACGUG